UUUUUUUUUUUUUUUUUUUUGUCUUUUUGCCAUUUCUUGGGCUGCUCCCGUGGCAUAUGGAGGUUCCCAGGCUAGGGGUCUAAUUGGAGCUGUAGCCGCCGGCCUAUGCCAGAGCCACAGCAACUCGGGACCCAAGCCGCGUCUGCAACCUACACCACCACUCAUGGCAACGCCGGAUCUUUAACCCACUGAGCAAGGCCAGGGAUCGAACCCGAAACCUCAUGUUUCCUAGUCGGAUUCGUUAACCACUGAGCCACAACGGGAACUCCCGUUCACUUCUUUUUGCUGUGUAUUAAAAUGUAAUUUUUUUGAGGAUGUAGGUCGUCCCUUGUCUCUACCUAGAUUUAGUAGCCAAGUAAGUUUAUGAUAUUUGUAACAAUAUGUCAGAUUACAUUAAUUUUAAUAACUACUAAGAAUACCAAAAAUGUCUCUUAAAAAGGACUUAAGGGGAGUUCCCUGGUGGUCUAGUGGGCAGAAUUUGGCACUUUCACCACUGCAGCCUGAGUUUAGUCCCUGGUCUGGGAACUGAGAUUCCCGCAUCAAACCCUUGUGUGCUGUGGUCAAUAAAUUAAUUAAUUAAUUUUAAAAAGGGGGGCUUAAAAGUAUUGAACCCUUGUUAGACCCAGUUGACUUUUUAAAUCAGUUUUUGUAGUUUGGAUGGAUAUAAUUUCUAAAUAAUUUGUAACUUUUAAUAAGAUGGAAAAUCAUCUCAUGCAGAGUCAGGAAAAGUUAUUUGCUCAUGUUCCUUGAAGACCAAAUUGACUUUAGGUUAUUUGAAUACUUGUAGGUAAAAAUACUAGUAUAUCAUCAUACUAAAGUAUUUGAAGACAGAAUAAUUUGUAUACCUCCCUCCCCCCAAAUAUAUUUGUGUACUUUCUGAACAACUGUUGAUCUUAGAACCAAGAAGUGAUGUUUCAUGGAGCAGAGCUAAGCUGAUGAUCUAAUAUCCACUGCCCAGAUCUGGCUGGGCCUGUUCACCCACCCAAUUCCUGCAGAGCCCCAACCCCUUUCCCAUUUAGUGCACACUUUUGAAGACUACACUGUUGAUUUUUCUCUUUAUCUGUGUUAUACAUAAUGCAUUUAUUUUUUAAAAAAAUAUUUUUUAAAUGUUUUUGUCUCUUUAGGGCUGCAUCCAUGGCAUAUGGAAGUUCCCAAGCUGGAGUCAAAUGGGAACUGUAGCUGCUGGCCUGCACUGCAGGCUCAGCAACACCAAAUCUGAAUGUCAAAGCUCAGGGCACCGCCGGAUCUUUCACUCACUGAGCAAGGCCAGGGAUCGAACCCGCGUCCUCGUGGAUACUAGUCACAUUCUUUACGCAUGAGCCACAAUGGGAACUCCAGUACAUUUAUUUUAAAUGCCUGCUGUGCACUGAGCCCUAGGCUAGGAAACUGUCCCCAUAGCCAGUUCUCAGAUCUCUCCUGUACCUACCUGCCUUUCAGGUUACUAUAAACUCCUGCUUGGGAAAGGCUCUCUAGAGCAGGCUCUUUGGCUUCCACCUCUAAGAUACUGGGGACUCUUUUGGUGGGAGUAGAUGGCGCUGGAGGAAGGAAGGAGAUGGUGAACUGGAGGGAAGGGGGAGGCACAUGCCGGUGAGUAAUGCAAAAGCUAUUUUCCACGAAGGGGAGGAGGGAAUCCCAUACCUGAUAAUUGAAUUGCUUAGAGCUGUCAGUUCUCCAGUCAUGCCCUUUUCUGGAUUAACUAAGUUCUUCUCAAGUAGCCGGAAAACUCAAAACACCGUAGAUUUGUAGCAUUGUUGCUAUGGGAGAGUGUGUUCUGAGCUCCCAGCAAUAGGUUUCGAAAUACACUUUUCAAAUUUAAAUAAAAUCUUCAAGUCAAAGAUGACUCUUCUUUGUUGCCUCUUAGCGUCUUUGUGAAUUGAGUUGCAAAAGGGAUGUGUUUUGGCUGCCUUUAGUUUUGUCAUACUCUAGUCCAGUGUACUUCUGAGGGUACCUGGGGGCUCUGUGUGCCCUACUAUGUCUUUCCUCAGCUCCUAAACAUGUGCCUGUCUUCCGUGAGGGAGUAUGCACUUCUAUAAAUGGGUUAUUUAUUUUGAAAGAUUUAGGAACGUGGAAAUUGAUACUAUGUUCUUACGACUCGAGUUGAAUCAGAUUAAAACUGAAUAAUGUAGUUAAUAAAGUGGGAAAUGCUUUAACAUCAUGCUGCUGUAAAACUGAAACAGUAGAAAAAUAUUGGGAUUCACGCUAACAAGAAUUUUUGAAGCUUGGGUGGUUUGGCUCUAGAGAUCUGGUUUAUCUCUGAAUGCUCAACGUCUGUCAGAUACCAUCUGUAUUUUGAGGAAAAUAGUAGGAAUUAUUUAUUGUCGAGCAGCGUAAAAUUGAAAUUCUGUCUAGAAAGAGAUUUAGGUAAUUCAAUAAGGCAUUAGAAAUACAUAAAUGUAGAAUGUCUUGAAAUUUUAAUUAUUAAAAGAACUUAAUAUGUAUUUUAGUAAAUAACUGAAGGUCUUUGCUGGGUGUGAAUAAUAAACAGAAUAAAAUAGGUGUAAGAAUUUCUUCUCUGAAGGAGCUUGCAGUAUAAUUCAGAUGGAUUCUGAAACAACUUUUUCAGUAUCAUAUUUAGAAGCCAUGGCAUGGUUCUGUCUUUUGAGGUAUAAAACUUAAGAAGAAUUGAGAGUAACAAGAUUUGGUUUGAGUAAGAAAAGGUGACUUAACAACUGCAAGUCGAAAGGAACUUUAGCUAUUUAUAGGUAGUCUAGAAACAUGUAAUUCAAUCAACUUAUUCUAUAAUUAAUGUUUUGACUAGGGUUACUAAGUGUGUGUCUUUUCAUUUCUCUCUAGUCCAAAUAACACUGUCAAAGCUAUGGCCCAUCAUCUGAUGGAAGUUAUUUAGGUCAAGGUAGAAAGAAAUUUGUAUGAUGUCUUUUUUUCCCCCCCGUAAAUCAUUGAUGGUUAAUUUUUAAAAUCUGUUAUUGAAAAUGGGGAUGUGAAUGCUUUAGUAUUUCCAGGGUAAAAUUCUUUUGGAUUAUGGCAGUUUUGAAUCAUUCUGGAUUAUAGUAUAUUUACACAGUGUCAUCUGACUGGACCUCUUUAGGGAAUUGUGUAAGUGUAUUAAUCCUUUGCUCCCUAUUUUUUCAGAGGAAGCUUUCUGUACUUUGAUUUAGUAGGGGCCUGGCAGGUUGUAUAAGAAAUAAGUGAUGUGGAGGAUUGAAAAGUGCAGGCCUCAGAAACAUGUGGGUUUUGUUAGAAAAUGUUAGCUAGAAUUUUAAAAAUACUGAGUAAGGCACCCCACCCCCCCCAAAUCCUGUCUGGAGGUUGAAUCAGACCCAGGCAUCCCAUCUGGUGAAAGUCAAGGUAGUGGCUCACAGUUGUCUGUUGCUGUGUCGCAUAUACCACCCCAAACCUCGGCGACUUAACAGUGUUCUCUCUUGAUUCUGGAUCACAAUCAAGUUCUUUCUUGGGGUCCAUCAAGCAAGAGGGACUGAGGCAUGGGGGAUCCUCAGAGGCUUCUUCAGGCACAGGUUUGACACCUAGACUGGUAGGUCAUCUUUCUUCUUGUGCAGCUUCUCUUCAUGACUAGCUUGGACUUCAUCUGAUCAUGGCCGUGUCCGAGGAGUCGGGCUUCCUGCAUUCUUGCUGGCUGACCCCAGAGUGAGCAUUCUAAGAAGUCUAGGUGGAACCUGCCAGGCUUCUUAGGGCCUAGCGUCAGAAGUUACUCAGUGCCACUUGGCUAAAUUUUUUUGGCCAAUUAAUCAUAGCCCUGCUCAAAUUCAAAAGCAUGGAAAAAGAGGCUUCAUCUCUCGGUGAGGGAAUGGCUUACAUAUCUUUGUCAGCAGGUCAUCUUUGGCAAUGAGCUACUCAGUUAUCAUUCCAGUCUCUCUGUAUCUGGCCCCAGCUACCUUUUCUGCUCUCAGCAUCAGCUGCUCUUAGAGAUCUCUGUUCCCUGGAGCUUGACUUUAAAAUCCUCCACCAGUACAUACGCAUCCUAUGUGCAUGUAUCCCUCUGUCUUACUUUGUCGAGUUUAUGUUGGAGAAAUUUUUUCUGUUCAUGAGGAACAUAAAUGCCUUAAGCAUGGGCCUAAUUUGUCUUUAUCGCAAGUGCUAGAUGGAUUCAGUACCCUAUAUAUAACAGGAAUUCAACUGUAUUUGUGCAUUGAUUGAUAGUUUGGAAGGGUGGGGUUUUAUGUUUGCAGGACAAUUUACUCUAGAGCCUUUUUUUUUUUUCUUUCCACCAAAAAAUAUGCUUGAUUUCCAAAAAUGUUUGUUCACAAGUUUCUAAAUUUGAAUUUGGGUUUAGCCACAAGUGAAUUUGAAUUUGGAAAGAACAGAGUCCUGAGAAAUGAGAUCUUCCUUAGAAAGAACAUGUUUCCUCUGUUCGAUGGCAGCAGAAUUGCCAAAGGCCCUUGUUUGUUUACAUCCAGUGAUAUUGACUCUAAGGGACUCUUGGACACAGAUGUAGUGUUUUGGAGUACAUAAUAUUUUUGAAAUUACAUAGUACAUAUGGAAAACAUCCCAGAGGCUGUAUAAAAAUUAAUUGCCAGUAUUCGUGUUGCUUGCUUUUUCUACUCCCAGAACAUUAGUUAAAUUUAGCAGCCGUCCAAUAAUUCUUAUCAUUGUGCCUUAGUGUUCCCAAAUAGCAUCACUGUAGGAUUUCCUUUAUUUCUUGUGUAGAAACACUGCUGUACUCUACCAGUUACUAAGUCUUUGCCACUUGCCACACUUCCUUCAAAGCGGAGUGACUAGGAGGAUACCUUCUGAAUUCUGGGGCAGGAGGAAGCAUUUUUUCCUUAAAGAAGGGAGAUUCUUUUUAAAGCAGUACUUGGAAAUUAGAAUAUGUACCUUAUUUAAAAGUACUUUGUAUCUCCAGCUUACCGCUUCCACUGAUUUUAUUUUAUUUUAUUUUUAUUAUUUUUUUUGCUUUUUUGCGCUGCACCUGCAGCAUAUGGAGGUUCCCAGGGUAGGGGCUGAAUAGGAGCUACGGCUGCUGGCCUACACCACAGCAACGCAGGACCCGAGCCGUGUCUGCAACCUACACCACAGCUCACGGCAGUGCCAGGUCCCUGACCCACUGAGCAAGGCCAGGGAUUGAACCUGUAUUCUCAUGGAUACUAGUCGGACUCAUUUCUGCUGUGCCAUCAUGGAAACUCCCUACUACAUAAAUUUUUACUAUCUUUCUAUAGCAAUAAUGGUAAUGUUUUAUUUGUCCAAUCACUUAAUUCCUAAGAUUUUAGGGUCAUUUAAGGAAUAGAUAUACACCAAUUACUCCACCCUAUCAUAUAGAUCAGAAAUCAUAUCAUCUCCAUUUUGCAGGCAAAGGGAAGAGACUAAUCCCUUUUGAGCUUAGUUUGAAGCCUGAAGCUUGAAAGCCAAGGCCAGGCUAUGUAUGAAAAGCAAACCAUUCUGAUAACUUUUUACAUAUUUCAGUAGAGAUUAAUACUUUGAUAAUCUGCUUGAAGCAAAAUUCCCUCAAUAAAUAAGUGAAAGGGAUAGAUCUGUCUCCCAAAUUGUGUAUAGAAUAUCAUUACUAGAUGUUCCCUUUAAAAAGAAUUUUGUGGUUUAAUAUUUUGGUUUAAACAAAGUUUAUUGAAACACACCUUGUACUGUAUAAUACCAUAGCUAUCUAUUAUUACGAAUUUCUAAAAAAACCCCAAAAACUGGUAGCAAGAAGCAUAUGCUAAAUAUUCUAAAUUUAUUUGGCGUAGGAGUCCUCCACCCUUUUUUUAUAUAAAUUUUUUAUUACUCAAAUGAAUUUUAUUACAUUUACAGUUGUACACCUUUUUUUUUUUUUAAUAGAACACUUAUUACCAGUAUUUUAGGGAACACAAUUUAUAGAAUGCCAAAAUACUGCCCUUUCUUUAUAAGUGAAAAAAUGUCAAAAAUUGUGUACUUUGAACUUAGUGACACAUUUUGGGCUUUUUUGCUGUGGUGGUAAUAGUUGUUAAAUAAUUAACAACUCUUAAAAUAAUAGCUAAUAAUAGUAAUAAUAAUAGUAAUGAUAGUAAUAGUUUUAAAAAAUUACCCCUUUCUUUUGUGGCCACUGUCUGUUUCAUCCAUACAGGUAAGAUCUCCCCUUGUUGAACAUGUUUCCACAGUAAGAAGUUUUUUUUUUUUUCUUUUUAAUACUGAAGACUUAACAGAAUACACAUCUUUUAAUGUAACAUUUCUUAGCUUCUGUUUUUAUAGGGAAAAUUUGUAUAUAUAUAUAUAUGCCGCCAAACCCAAUAAUGACAUUUGAAACCCAAAUGUGAGGGAAAUAACUCAAGUUCCAUUUUUAGUAUGAUGUGGACGUCUUGAAAAACAUACCCAAAGUCAGCCCAGAGGAUAGACAUGCCAUGCCCCUGCCUAGAAACAACACUUAAUCUUAUGAAUGAUUUGCUGUUCAGUAAAUGGCAUUUUAAGCAUUUUACAUUCAACAUGGAAGUUGGUUAAAUAUGUAUUGGAGUCAUGCCGGGUAUUUUGUUUUGGAAAUGAGUGGAGGGGCUUGGGUAGUCAUGUUAUCUGUUCUAUUUUCUAUUUAAAAGGAUAGGACAAUGGCAGUAUUUUUUUUUUUUUUUUUUCCUUCUUCUUGGGUAAGGAUUGCUGCCACUAAAUUAGGUUAUUUGAACUUAUUUCACCCUCAUAACAGCCCAGGCAGGUAGGUGAUACUCUACCCAGUUUGUACAGGGAGAAAUGGAGGCAUGGCCUGGGCCAGGAGCUCACUCGAGGUCCUAGAGCUAAGCGGCUGGACUGGGAUUUGAACCCAGGCCGUCUGCUGUCACCACUGUGCCCUUCAUAGGAAUGAUUGGUUUCUAACUUUUGUCAACAGAGUGUGGUUUCUAGAAGUAUAUGCAGAGCCAUUUAAAUGACAGCUGAAUGUUCGAUUGGUAGUUUUCGUGCGUGUUUAUAAGAAAACUCUGCCCUCUUUGGUAUUGAAAGACGAUAAUGCCAAUCUGGAUUCUAAGCAAUUCACUGGUAGUAAAAUAGGCACUUUGGGAGAUAACCUUUCAAACCCCGAGAUAUCAUUUACUGCAAUGAAGUAGUAAAUGGCUUUGCUAAAUUCUGCCCUUUGAGCAAAUAAUUUUGUGUGGCCUUGAGGUGUCUCCUGGCAUUUUGUGGUCAGCUAUUCAUGUAACUGGGGCAAAUUGUAUCACAGAGGAAAAGGAAAACAAAUAUUUAUGGAGAACUCUCUGUGUAAAGCCCUUUAAAAUGGAACUUGCUUAAUCUUCAUAAGAUGAAGAAUUAUUAUCCACAUCUUAAGAAAGAGAAAGCUCUUCUUGUAUGUGGAAUCACUGGUCUCAGAUGGCACGGCUUGUAUGUAGAUCAAUUCUGACAUGAACCCUGAUCAUUUUCAUGGGCCAUUAUUGUUUUUCUCCCUUCAAAGCAUGUGUAUCUGAAUGACAGGGUCUUAGUUCAAAGGAAUGGUGUCUUCCGUGACAGGCCCUGAUCUGGAUCUUUCAGAGCUGCAGUCUGGGCAGGCCCUGACCGUGGUGGGGGCUGCAGGGGCCAUGGGGAAGUAAAGGCUCCUGUAGAUAAAGUAGGAGUUCCUGCUAUGGUGCAACAGGAUCAGCAGUGUUUUGAAAGCACUGGGGGACCAGUUCAAUCCCUAGCCUGGCACAGUGGGUUAAGGAUCUGGUGUUGCCACAGCUGUAGCUUCAGUUGUGACUGCGGCUCCGAUCUGAUCCCUGGCUCAGGAACUCCAUAUGCCACGGGGCAGCCAAAAAAGAAAAAAAAAAAAAAA
ensembl:lncRNA